rnacentral:rRNA from 1 species
AUUGAACGCUGGCGGCAGGCCUAACACAUGCAAGUCGAGCGGAUGAAGGGAGCUUGCUCCUGGAUUCAGCGGCGGACGGGUGAGUAAUGCCUAGGAAUCUGCCUGGUAGUGGGGGAUAACGUCCGGAAACGGGCGCUAAUACCGCAUACGUCCUGAGGGAGAAAGUGGGGGAUCUUCGGACCUCACGCUAUCAGAUGAGACUAGGUCGGAUUAGCUAGUUGGUGGGGUAAAGGCCUACCAAGGCGACGAUCCGUAACUGGUCUGAGAGGAUGAUCAGUCACACGGGAACUGAGACACGGUCCAGACUCCUACGGGAGGCAGCAGUGGGGAAUAUUGGACGAUGGGCGAAAGCCUGAUCCAGCCAUGCCGCGUGUGUGAAGAAGGUCUUCGGAUUGUAAAGCACUUUAAGUUGGGAGGAAGGGCAGUAAGUUAAUACCUUGCUGUUUUGACGUUACCAACAGAAUAAGCACCGGCUAACUUCGUG